AGAGGGUGCAAGCGUUAAUCGGAAUUACUGGGCGUAAAGAGCACGUAGGUGGUUAUUUAAGUCAGAUGUGAAAGCCCUGGGCUCAACCUGGGAAUGCCAUUUGAUACUGGAUGACUUGAGUACAGUAGAGGGAAGUGGAAUUUCCGGUGUAGCGGUGAAAUGCGUAGAUAUCGGAAGGAACACCAGUGGCGAAGGCGGCUUCCUGGACUGAUACUGACACUGAGGUGCGAAAGCGUGGGGGGAGCAAACAGGAUUAGAUACCCUGGUAGUCCACGCCGUAAACGAUGAGAACUAGCUGUUGGGAUCUACGGAUUUUAGUAGCGAAGCUAACGCGAUAAGUUCUCCGCCUGGGAGUACGGCCGCAAGGCUA
rnacentral:rRNA from 1 species